UCAUGAAUAUCACUAGUUCGACUAUUAUUUCUAUAGGAACAAAGUUUAAUUUUUAAAAUUUAAAUUAAGUUUUCUCUAAAGUUGGUUUCAUUAGACUAUAUGAGAUAUGAUAUGAUGGAUAAGUUAGAGGAUAGGUCUGUGAGAGCUCAUUUAUGGGGUAUCCCAAAAGGAUUUGGGAUGUCACUUUCUCUUUCCAGUGGUUCACAAUGUGAUUAUGAGCAAUCCUACUGUUUUGUUGGAAAUAAUGGGAGGAUGAACUCAAAGAAAAAAUUUUAAAAGAACAAUGAGUCACAGGACUUGUACAACCUAUUUAAGAUGAGCCUAUAAAUAUAGUACCUUCUCCACUUUGUAGAUCUUGUAGGAUAUCUCCCAUCCUUUAGAAAGGUACUUGGUAUUCUUACAAAGGAUUCAGAAAAAGUAUUUCUUGAGGA
rnacentral:lncRNA from 1 species